ACUAUCGAGAGAUUCUUCCAUUGCCCUCUGCCCCCAUCAACUUGCUUCAGGAUCUGUAAAAUGGGAAUCAAAUGAGGAUGUCUGCUGAUAUCGGGAGGGCUUAAAGAACUGGAAGGCAGAAUUAAGCCCCUGGAUGGAUUCGUCUUGUAUUUAUUAAUGGCCAGCUAGGACUGAAAAUUUUGGCCUCUCGAUUAUGUUGAUAAAAUGGAAUCUCUGGAAUCAGAAUGAUGGAUGAUGCUAAAAUAAAGCCACAUCUGAAUCACCCCAGUUCAGCAGAGUAACGGCCCAUCUAAUCUGACCUCUGAUCUCUCAGUCACCUGAGACUUAUGAUGGCUGCUUCAGAGUCAAGUGCAAAA